AGCUGCCAAAGUAAAGGUCUUUUUCCGAAGGUUUUAAUGAUGGUUGACAACUUGGUUUGAUGGUGAAAUGUAAAUGAAAACAAUUUGCUUGUUAGCUAACAACUGUAUCUGAAAGAAUCUGUGAAAUUGAAUAAAGAUGUAAAUUAUGCUUCACAUUCAUUACAAGUGGAAGUGCUGAAUUACAUACUAUGCAGGAGAGUUGCACAAGUAGCAGUUUGUAACAAGAACAAUUAUCCAUGAGUUCCCCGUCUUGAUUUGCUUCGCCUUGGCAGAUAAAACCCUAACACAUUGAAUUAGAGGCCCAAAAACAGAGAAGAUGGUUAGGAUCUGGUAUUCUUUCAUGUGAGUCAAGGGAUAGCAGUGAAAUCAUGGAUACAACGAUAGUACUCUUCCAACUAGUCGCCAUAGGUUUCUGUCUUUCAUUCAACCCAACCAUUUGGAGAACAUGAGAUGAUUUGGGUCCAUAUUAGGUAGGUUCCUGAAUGAUAUCUCAUUUCCUGGAUAUUUAAAUGAUUAGUUGGAAGGUUGUAAGGCUUAAAAAAACCCCCCUUUCAUUAAAAAACUGUAUUAAACAAACCACAUGACGUGUUUGAUAGGCACUUAUUUAAGGAAAUGAAACCUACCAACAAAACAAAUGUCAGGAUUGGUAAUGCUGCAAAAGGGAGAGGAAACAUUACAGUCACAACUAGUUCAGGUACAAAGACAAUAUCAAAUGUUCUUUAUCCUGAAACUGACCAAAAAUUUAUCCAGUGUUUCUCUGUCUAGAGUGGAGAAGAGAGGAACCAUACAAAACAAAAGCAGAGCUUCCCAUUUAAUUGACUGUAACUCUGUAAGUAUCCAACUCUAUUCAUUUAUGGAUCAUAUGGAUCAAAAUCAUCCAUGAGUUCCUGGGUUUGACUUGCUUGGCCGAGCCGGAAUAUGAGGAGGGUCCUAAUAGGAAACACCGACAGGUUUACAGCAACUGAUCAACAAUAAAUUUAAGCAGAGGGUGGGAAGUAAAAGGUGAUUAUCACAAUAUUGUACACCAUAAACAGAGCAAGCGAGUCGAUACACAGACAAAGGAAGAGGAUAAGAAAUGAGAAGCAGAGAAAGUUACUUACUUCGUGGAGAAUAAGGGGUGGAUGAUUGCAAUCCGGCCAGCAGAAUUAUGAGAGCAGUGAGCAGGGAAACGAUGGAUACCACAAUACUUUUCCAACUACUCGCCAUUGGUUUGGUGACUUUGGUCUUUCAUUCAACCAAAAGCCUUCCUUAUCAACAGUUGGAGAAGAUAUUAGCAUUAGGUCCCUCACAUUCUAUGCAAUUCUCAAUUGCGGACCUCUAUUGGUUUCUAUUGUACAUUUGUACCAUUUACUCCGACGUAAAAAAAUUGUUCAUGGUUAAUCGGACCAAAUCCUACAAAAUCACUAACAUAUGGUAUAAGUCAAAUUAAAUUAAAAACCCUCAACUAAAAUAAAUUAGGAAUAGUGUGGGUUGUUCGCACAAUAUAGUUAGUAAAAAGAUUAAGAUUUCUAGUGAACCCAAUAAAUAAUUAAAUAUACAGUUAUCUAUAAUAGUUAAUUAGAACCCUUUGAGACAAAAAUUAUAGCCACCAAACCCUGUCAGACAAAAAAAAAAUUAUAACCACCAGCACUCUUACAUUCGUUCUUUGUUCAAACGUUUUAGUAAGUUUUGACAAAUCGAAAAUGGAACUUAGUAAGUUUUAGUAAGUCUUUGUAAUUGGUUUAAUGGUUUUGACCAGUACUAGUGGAUUAGAUUUGGCAGUAGGUCUGUGAGUUUCGGGUAUUUGUUAAAGCCUGUUCGAAUUGAGUCGAUUUGUAACCAUUAACCGUGGGUUUUGUCGGUUUUGGGCACACCCGCGACCCGCCAAAUUCAGGCGACGGGCGGUCAUGGUUAAUGAGAUAUCCAACCCAUCACCGAUCCGAUAACAAAACGACAUCGUUUUGUCUAUGAUUGAUA
rnacentral:lncRNA from 1 species